CUCUCCGGCCCGCCCGGAGGAGGACUCGCAGCCAUGGAGCGGAGCGGCGGCCUCCAGCGGGAGUGCAACUUCGGCGGAGCCAUUUGCCAAGGGCUAUCAAAGACACAAGCAGAGGAUUUCGCUUCCAGUUCUCUGGAACUCGGGCGCGGCUUCGGUGGCAAGCCUGGGAGCUGUAGAUUUGCUCAGGAUUUUGUUUACAUAUGGAACACCUUUUGAAAAUAAAGUGAUGGAUUCCCUGGCUUUUUCCCCUCUUACCAAGCACCACCUGGCAACAUGAAAACUACUACCAACUAGUCUCCUUAAUAUGGAUGGGUAAGGAGCAAAGCUGUGCAAAUAUAGGUUGGCAGAACCUGGGACAAGUAAUUGGAGCUCACU